AGAAGAACCGGAAGUCGGGCUGGGCUGAGCCCCUCAAAGCCCACCAUCAGCAAACUACUUCUCCACAGAGGCUCUAUCUACCUCAAGGCUUGCUUAGGUUUAGAGGGUUAAUCUUUGCUCAUUAUAGUAGGGAGCAGACAAUCCUGAUGCUGGAGCCGUAGUUAAAAGCUUUACAACUUGAUUCACAGGCAGCAGACAGAGAGACACUGGACCGGAUGUGACUUUGGAAACCUUAGAACCCACCCCCAGAGACCCACCUUCUCCAGUAAGACCACACUUCCUAGUCCUUCCCCAACGGUUCUACUAACUGGGGGCUAAGCAUUUAAACAUGUGAGCACAUGGGAGCCAUUUUCAUUCAAACCACCACCGUCCCCAAUUGAAAUUCAUGGGGAGUUACACUGUGCAUGCUCUGAGCUCACUUCUAGGAGGACUGGCAGCUUUCCGAUUAGGUUCUUGGAGCUCUAAGAGGCCACAGAGAGAAGCUCUGGGACUCCAUGGAUUAGUAUUGGGCCACCUGUCGUCAUUCUUCCUCCUAGCCAUCAUGUCACCAAGCUGGUGCGAAGGCCCUGUGGAUCCUCCAGGCCACCUCAUGAACCUAGUCACCAGUCAUCACACGGAGGACAGCCAUCCAGCUGAAUUCUGCCCAAAUGAUUUACCCAUGAAAUGGGAUUCACGAGGUUCACACAUAUCUCAAACCUCAUCAGAGAAAUUUCUAUUUGCAGUAGACAGUGAUCAACGCAGAUACUUGCAAAUGGUCAAGGGGAAUCCAAGAAGGGCAUGUUGGUCUGGAUGCGAAGAUGCUUCCCUUCGUGUCUGUAAAACAGAGAAGACCGUCAGUGCUCACGAGUCGGGACUGCCGACGUGUCCCUCGGUGACCCACGGCUGUUAGAGGACCACUCUGAUCAGAGCAUUCAUCUUCUGGUCCUGAGACCUCCCUCCUGCUUCCCCGGAGUCUUUCUCUGUGAUCUCGUCUUUCUCUUUUCAUGUUCUACUUUCAUAAAGGAAUAAAGAUAGAAUAUUUAAAUUUAAAAAAAAACCCCACAAAGAUACAGUAUUUAAAAGGAGCACGCAGCCUAACUGUAGUUCCAUUUUUGGGUCUGAGUGACAAGAGCCCCCGUUUGCCUGGCUUGUCCUCUCUCUGUGUAUGCUGCUUCCUCUUGGGACCACACAGGAGCAGUGACUUUGUAGCAACUAGAAUUUAUAUGGUAAGGAUCCAGUGUCCAAGACAUUUGCCUCUCAAAUGAUAAAUAUCUUUCUACAUUCAAAGAGCUGUGUCUAUGGAAAUAAUAUCUAUGGUUAAGCUUCAUCAACAUCAAUUACAUAAUGCUUAGGAAACCCUCGCAUUAACAGUAUAUACGAAGAUCCCUUCCUCCCCCAGCAGUUGAAUCUAUGUUAUGCUGUUAACCCAAGUCUUCCCUGACCUACCUCUGGCUUCUUGGUUUGGUUUCUCCUUGGGAGGGCAUCAGGUCAUGGGUGUCUUUUACCUCUAUGUCUUAUGUGCUUGCUUCUUUGUGUUGUUCAUGAAAUGGUACUGAGUAGGGAGACACAAGGCAUAGCCAAGACAUUAUCAUGCCCAGACCAGAAGUCUCUAGAUUUCCAAGUAUGUCAAUAUCUUCUCCAAAUCUUUCUUCCUACGAAUGGAGCAUGUAGCCAUGGUAACAGCUGAGUAUUGGUGUUAAUAAGAAGUCUUACAAGGAGGAAAAAUUCUUUUAAUGUAAAGGUAGCACUGUGACUUAUUUAUUUAAAUCAAUUAUUCAUUCCCUUAUUAAAUGAGUUUUCAAGCUGC
rnacentral:lncRNA from 1 species